rnacentral:misc_RNA from 1 species
AGCAACAAGCCUCAAGUUCUUGUUUGAGAUGUUUGUGCUGGAAACUUUGUUGUUCACUUUCUUUAAGGUUUUGCCAAAGAAGGCUGUUGGUGGAACUGAAGUUCCAACAACAGAGUUGUUCAAACUCAACUUGUUGACAGCUCCAAUGGUUGAGAUGGAGGUAGCCAUUUGUACUUGACUAACUCUAAAGACUCACAAAAUAACAAAAGUUUAUUUGAAAAUUACUCUGUCUGUAAUUUGUUA